CGUACGCGGUGUGCACAAAGGGGGUACGAUGUGUAUCUUGAAUGUCAAAACGACUCUCGGCAACGGAUAUCUCGGCUCUCGCAUCGAUGAAGAACGUAGCGAAAUGCGAUACUUGGUGUGAAUUGCAGAAUCCCGUGAACCAUCGAGUCUUUGAACGCAAGUUGCGCCCGAGGCCUUCG
rnacentral:rRNA from 1 species